GACGAACGCUGGCGGCGUGCUUAACACAUGCAAGUCGAACGAUGAAGCUGGAGCUUGCUCUAGCGGAUUAGUGGCGAACGGGUGAGUAACACGUGAGCAAUCUGCCCUUGACUCUGGGAUAACUGCGGGAAACUGUAGCUAAUACCGGAUACUUUCACCGGGGGGCAUCCUCUGGUGAUGAAAGAAUUUCGGUCAAGGAUGAGCUCGCGGCCUAUCAGCUUGUUGGUGAGGUAACGGCUCACCAAGGCGACGACGGGUAACCGGCCUGAGAGGGUGACCGGUCACACUGGGACUGAGACACGGCCCAGACUCCUACGGGAGGCAGCAGUGGGGAAUAUUGCACAAUGGGCGCAAGCCUGAUGCAGCAACGCCGCGUGAGGGAUGACGGCCUUCGGGUUGUAAACCUCUUGUAGUAGGGAAGAAGCGAAAGUGACGGUACCUGCAGAAAAAGCACCGGCUAACUACGUGCCAGCCGCCGCCGUAA
rnacentral:rRNA from 1 species